rnacentral:tRNA from 1 species
GAGUAGCUCAGUUGGAUAGAGCGUCGGUUUCCUAAACCGCAGGUCGCAGGUUCAAUUCCUGUCUC